UACGGGGGGGGCAAGCGUUGUUCGGAAUUACUGGGCGUAAAGGGCUUGUAGGUGGCCAACUAAGUCAGACGUGAAAUCCCUCGGCUUAACCGGGGAACUGCGUCUGAUACUGGAUGGCUCGAGUGUGGGAGAGGGAUGCGGAAUUCCAGGUGUAGCGGUGAAAUGCGUAGAUAUCGUUUGGAACGCCAAUGGUGAAAACAGACAGCUGGGAGUGUGCUGACGCUGAGACACGAAAGCCAGGGGAGCGAACGGG
rnacentral:rRNA from 1 species